CGAACGUAGGUAACCUGCCCAUGUGCCCGGGAUAACUGCUGGAAACGGUAGCUAAAACCGGAAUAGGCAUGAGGGAGGCAUCUUCCUCAUAUUAAAGCACCCUCGGGUGUGAACAUGGAUGGACCUGCGGCGCAUUAGCUGGUUGGUGAGGUAACGGCCCACCAAGGCGAUGAUGCGUAGCCGACCUGAGAGGGUGAACGGCCACAUUGGGACUGAGACACGGCCCAA
rnacentral:rRNA from 1 species